AAGUCGUAACAAGGUUUCCGUAGGUGAACCUGCGGAAGGAUCAUUAACACGUUAUCCACGUAUCAACCAAACCGUGAACUUGAACCGUGUAUGUGCAGUUUUGCUGUUGAGAGGGAGUGUUUAAGAAGGGAUUCUUCGCUCUGCUUUCUUCGGUAAUAUAACUGUACAUAUCGUUGUCCCAAUUACCAAAUCACCCCUGAUGUGUCUUUUUACUCCUUUCAUUAGGAAAAAGAAGCACAUUGGUUUUCUUCUAUUUCUUACUUGAAGAUCCAAGGCCUUUUUGGCUUUGUCUUCUAACACAAACGCUGUACAACUCUUAGCAACGGAUAUCUUGGUUUCC
rnacentral:misc_RNA from 1 species